AGGACUGUGACCACUGCUGUUGACAAGACUGCUCCCAUCACUUGGACAGGACUGUGUCCACCACUCUGCCCAACAGGAUUUCCUACUCCCAAACCUUGGCCAGAUGGAGGAGGAGGCUGUGAGGAAGAGGAAGAUGCCCCGGAACACCCAGGCAGACAAGGAGCUGAGGACAGAGCCCAGG